rnacentral:rRNA from 1 species
GAUGAACGCUAGCUACAGGCUUAACACAUGCAAGUCGAGGGGUCUCAAGGGAGCUUGCUUCUGCGAGACGACCGGCGCACGGGUGAGUAACGCGUAUCCAACCUGCCCUUCAUAUUGGGAUAGCCUUCCGAAAGGGAGAUUAAUACCGAAUAACAUGAGAAGAUUGCAUGAACCUCUCAUGAAAGCUCCGGCGAUGAAGGAUGGGGAUGCGUUCCAUUAGGUAGUAGGCGGGGUAACGGCCCACCUAGCCUACGAUGGAUAGGGGUUCAGAGAGGAAGGUCCCCCACACUGGAACUGAGACACGGUCCAGACUCCUACGGGAGGCAGCAGUGAGGAAUAUUGGUCAAUGGGCGCAAGCCUGAACCAGCCAAGUAGCGUGAAGGAUGACUGCCCUAUGGGUUGUAAACUUCUUUUAUACGGGAACAAACCUUGGUACGCGUACCAAAUUGCGUGUACCGUAUGAAUAAGCAUCGGCUAACUCCGUGCCAGCCGCCGCCGUAACAC